rnacentral:antisense_RNA from 1 species
GAUCGUUGUUGCCGCGGCCGAUAUGGAACCCAAGCAGUGGCGAAGGGAAUCGCAAGGCUCUUCCCUGACCAUUUUCUCCUGUCCCUGCGCGAGGCUGAGUUGUGAACUUGGGUUUGGUUUCUUUCUGCAAUCCCUGCAGGGCCAUAAAUUCUUGGCCCUUAAGACUGUUCUCGGUGGCCCAUAACAGACUCAGUGAUACCAUCAGUAACCACAAUUCACACUGGAGUCAAGUUAUCUGAUUCCCACACCAGUUGGAGAACUGGAGAUUCCUUAGAACUUUUAACUGUGAUGUUUUCAAAGUUGACGUGGAAAAUUUUACAUGAAGCUUAAAAAUACAACUAAUCUGUGAUGAUAGAGAUGAGAAGAGUUAAGCUCUAAAAUUAGAAGAGCAGUUCGUUUUGAGGCAGCAUUGAUUGGGAGGGAGCAUGGAGUAUAUAAUUACACAUUUCUAUAUAAUAUAAAAAUGUAUAGAUUUAAGAUUUAUGCAUUUUAUGUAAAUUGUACUACAAUAAAACGAAAAUGAAAGAAUAAGACAAAGAUGAUCAUAUAUAGUUUAAUCAAAUAUUUUGUACAAAGUAAUUUCUGUUAAACAUUUAUAUUUUUAUGUGUAUAUGUACCUUUUACGUGUAUGUGUUAAAGAUAUGCACUAAAAUGGUAAUAACUCCUCUGCCUAUUGGGAUAAUGGAGAGUUUUGUUACUUUU